AUGUCCUGUGUGGAAGGAUCCCUUUGGGAACUUCUCAGGAGGGGGACCUGGGCCAAGAGCUUGACGUGCCUCAUGGGCAACUCGGGGCCCCUGGUGGGCUUG
ensembl:misc_RNA